GCCUGGCGUGGUGGCUCACACCUGUAAUCCCAGCACUCUGGGAGGCCGAGGCAGGAGGAUCGCUCGAGCCCAGGAGUUCGGGGUUGUAGUGCGCUGUGCCGACCGGGUGUCCGCACCAAGUUCAGCAUCAGUAUGGUGACCUCCCGGGAGCCGGGGACCACCAGGCUGCCUAAGGAGGGGUGAACCGGCCCAGGUCGGAAACGGAGCAGGUCAAAACUCCUGUGCUGGGUGGGCGCCUUUUUUGGCCUCCACCCAUCUGCACCCAGAUGCUCAAAAUAAACACCAUUUUGCU
rnacentral:SRP_RNA from 1 species